CAAAAGCAACUAAGAGUCUAAAACAAAACACAAAUAAAACAAAUGCAAAAAGGAAAAGCUGAAGUAUCUACAUGGGUUAAGAUUAGGAAACUGUAUUCUACUUGGCAGAUCUUCAUCUUCGCAUAUGGGACAUUUUUGGUCAAGAUCCAUCUGAAAUUUGGUCUCCAUCUUUUGAAAUCCAAGAUCUGAGAAGUUGUUGAUCAAGAUCGAGCUGAAAUUUAUCCUUUUCCUCCAGAAAUCGAGUGCUCCUGAGUUGUAUUUGCUGAGGCUGUAGAGGAUUAUCCACAUGUUGUAUGGCUACCUGAUACGCUCCAAUUACACCUAUUAAUGGUAUAACGCGGACGUUGUCAAAUAUAGUAACCCAACAAGGUUGGGGUCGAAUCCCACAGGGAAUAUGGUGUGAAAAGAUUACUAAAGUCGUAGGAUGCUAAGCUUAGGUCUAAUGUCUUGAUCCGAUGGUUUUGGUAAUAGUUGGUUUACUAUGACUAAUUGUUAUCUACUUGCUUUGGUGGAAAUUUAUGGUAAAAGAAACUAAGGUUGUGUCCCCAUUAGAUAGAGUGUAUGAUCAUGGGUAUUGAUCUUGAUAUACUUCUAAUGGAUCAUUAUAUGAAUGCACUUAAUCACUAUAUGAAUCUCUACUAUUUCUCAAUAAAUAAAGAUUAUCUCUUUC